UACGUAGGGGGCGAGCGUUGUCCGGAUUUAUUGGGCGUAAAGAGCGUGUAGGCGCCAGGUAGGUCUGCUGUGAAAACUCGAGGCUCAACCUCGAGACGUCGGCGGAAACCAUCUGGCUAGAGUCCGGAAGAGGAGAGUGGAAUUCCUGGUGUAGCGGUGAAAUGCGCAGAUAUCAGGAAGAACACCCGUGGCGAAGGCGGCUCUCUGGGACGGUACUGACGCUGAGACGCGAAAGCGUGGGGAGCGAACAGGG
rnacentral:rRNA from 1 species